rnacentral:lncRNA from 1 species
GCGAGGGUGAGAGAGGAGCUUAGUUUGAGCGGUUAGGCCUAGCAGACGGCUGCGGUGGCUCGGCCGCGCCGCGGCGGGGGCCUGUUUUUUGCGCGCCGUGGGAUUGCGAAGCUCGACGGAGAGGCCGACGGCGCGCAACCCUUUCGCUCCGCCGCGGGAGCCGUUGGCCGCCGCCGGGAGUCGACAGAGGGGCGCGCGCGCCACGCGGCCCUGGUCUGGCGCCCGCCGAACAGCGAGAGCAGCGAGCACACCGCCGUGUGUGCAGUGCUGUGUGCCGGCGGCGUCUCGUUGUUGCCGGCGCUGUGCAGUGUGUGCUGUGCGCUUCUGUGAGGAAGGGGUAUAGUAUGCUUUGAACGCGGCUGCGGCUGCCGCCGCUGCAACGCAGCGAGCGACGAGGGCGGAGGCCGCAACACCACGCCGAGCCGCGCGGCUUUGCAGGACUGCCUGUUCCAAGCACAAGGAGUCGUCCGGGUCAACGUACAACAUUGGAUAUACAUGUUACGUGCACAUUCUCCAACCAGCGAUGUUUCCCUCUCUUGGUUCGGUGUCCUGUGUACACGGUGGUGUUCUGGAGUUUGUGGACGGUGCCUGCAUACCCGCGGUUCGUCGGCCCGCGCACCGUGAGGCCUCAUUCGACGUCUGGAACUCUUAA